UACGAAGGGGGCUAGCGUUGCUCGGAAUCACUGGGCGUAAAGGGCGCGUAGGCGGCCAUUCAAGUCGGGGGUGAAAGCCUGUGGCUCAACCACAGAAUUGCCUUCGAUACUGUUUGGCUUGAGACCGGAAGAGGUAAGUGGAACUGCGAGUGUAGAGGUGAAAUUCGUAGAUAUUCGCAAGAACACCAGUGGCGAAGGCGACUACCUGGCCCAUUCUUGACGCUGAGGCGCGAAAGCUAGGGGAGCGAACGGG
rnacentral:rRNA from 1 species